rnacentral:lncRNA from 1 species
AUUUUAUUCAGAUGUAAUUCAUUUUUAAUGCCAUAGAUUAGAAUUUUAUUACUAGAUUCAUGGGAGUGUAAUUUCAAAGACGUAUUCUGUAAUUGUUAAUAAAAGAUAAUUGUAGACGAAAAUUUUACAAAAAUGGUUAAAUAUUGUUCUGCUGACGGUUGCUCCAAUUUGGAUAAGGGUUUUUUCAUCUGGACGUAGUUUUCAUAGGUUUUCUAGAGGUCCAGAAAUUCGGGAUGAAUGGGUUAAGACUGUCCGUCUAAAUGACUUCACGCCAUCUUCUCAUUCUUUAUUAUGCUCUGAUCACUUUUUGCCGGAGGACUAUUUAAGCAACCAUGUUUCUGUGAGAGCCAUAAGGAAAUUAAAAUACAACAGCGUUCCUACCAAAUUUAAUGACUGUUCAAAUACUAAUAGUCAACCUCCAGGGGAUAAAGCGUCCACUUUCAACUUGCCAAACUGAGGAUGAGGACCAUUUCGUUAAUAAUAAUAUUCUCAUUAUUCCAAUGGAAACCGAAAAUGAGAUCGAUUACAAUCGAAUAAAAAGCAUAAACCAUACAUAUGCAUAAUUUACAAUCACUAUUAGACUAAAGCCAUGACCGUGAAAAAAAAACUGAUUGGGAACUUCGUCAGGCAAAGUAGUUGAAGGUAGCUGCAGCAGCUACAUUUAAGUUGAACUAGAUUCUAGAUGCAAUCCGUGAGAAAGGUUUGUUAACUCCACAAAGUAUUUCUGUUUUUGAAGACCUUUUCACGGAUGUUCAAUUACGGACAAUUAAUAGAUUGGUGGAGAGUAAGAGCAAAACUACUCCUUUCUCUCAAGAAUUUAGGAACUUCGCGAUAAGUCUACAUUACUACAGUCCAAAGGCGUUCAAAUACGUAUCUCAAUUUCUGAAUCUUCCAAAUCAACGGUCCAUUCAGAGGUAUGUUGGGAACAUAGACUGCUACCCUGGGUUUCAAGUCCCUGCAUUCGAAGAAUUGAAACGUCGGAGUGUGGACCCAAAUUUUCAAGAAGCCAGUAUAUGUUUGGAUGGGAUGUUCAUUAAGGAAAUGAUGGAAUUCGAUGAGACUAGGAAAGUGUUUUGGUUACGUUGAUUAUGGAGGACAAAUCAGUAGUGGGGAAGAAAUAGCAGGGAAUGGAUACUUAGUGGUUAUGCUUGUCGGUUUAAAAAAGCUUUUGGAAAAUACCUGUUGCAUACUUCCUUAUUAAGGGAAUCCAAUCACAAAUUAUUGCAGGAAUUAUACGCGAAAUAAUAACCUUUAGCUUUGAAUCAAGCGUUCUGAUAAGGGCUGUCUACAUGAAUGGUGUUACAUAUUAUAUAUCAGCAUUCAAUGCACUUAGCUGCAAUCUUCAACCAAAGAAUAUCAAAGGCAUGACAACAAUAUUUCCUCAUCCUUGCACAAAUUCCGCCGUAGUCGCUAUUUGUGAUUCCCCUCACAUGGCUAAAAAUGUAAAGAAUUUUUUUGCUGAAUACAAAAAUAUUGUUUGUCCCAAUAAAGGAAUUAUAAGAUGGUCAUACCUGGAGGAUCUUCAUCUUCUCCAAACCAAACAUGACCUUGACUUGGGAAUAAAUUGACUGGAUCUCAUAUUUCUUUUCAUAAACGGAAAAUGAGAGUAAAACUCGCCGUCCAGUCAAUGUCAGAUUCAGUUGCGAGGUCAUUAAAGUGGACUCAUGAUAAUUUAAUUUAUGGAUUCAAAAGUGAGGACAUUCUAGUUUAAACAGAAUUUUUAGAGCUACACGUCAAAAAUUUUGAUAUGAUUAACAGCCGCAUUAGGCAGCAUUAUCUCCGACUAAUAUAUCAAGUGAAGAAGAAAAAAUUUCAUAGAUUCAUUGAGAGGUAUGAGGUGCUUGAGAGGAGUGAUGGUAUGAGAGUUAUUGAUUCCAGGCCUCGUACUUGUCCUUUAGGUCUCAUCUCCUAUAUCUAUUCUCUCAGGCAUCUCAUGAAAUCUGGAGGUAUAAAAUUGGAGUACAUUUGCUGCUAUAAAUUACAACAGGAUCACCUUGAGCACCUUUUUGCUGCAAUUAGACAAAGAAAGGUUUGGUGCUAUAAUCCUAGUCCUCAACAAUUUCGUUUUGCAUUCAGAAAGAUUCUAUGCCACGCUGGAAAGGAGAUGAUACAUAAUAUAAACAACAACUGUGUACAUCAAGAUGAUACAUUGUUAUGGCCAAUUUCUAAUAGGAAUAACUAACGCCACCAACUAGUUGCUUCUUAUGAACAAAAAGACGUCAGUGAGACACAUUUUGUGAUUGCUAAUUAAGAUACACUUAUCAAGUCAUUUCAUCUUAAAGGAUGUUUAUUGUCUGACUAUUGAUUUUGUGUCGCCACAAUUUCAUAUAUUGCAGGAUAUUGUGUCUUCAUCCUACAAUGAAAUGUGGAAUUUGUAAGGCAGCAUUGUUUAACAGUGAGGAUGAUUUCAAAUUUAAUAUCGUAUAAGAAUUAAUGCCCUGACAAUCCAUGAAAAAGGCCUAAUAGUGCCGUCUUCUCCUCCUUUGCGAGAGGAUAUUUAGGACAUACAGUGUCUCACUUUCCAGCAUCGAUGUCCACAAAAAACUCAUAAUUGAAGUCCUAACGAAUAUCGAUAUGAACAAAAUAUUCGGAAAGUUUUCGACUUAUGGCCUGGAAACUUCAGAAGGUGUCGAUAAUCACUACCUUACAUUGGUACAUUUGAUUUCAAAAAAUAUCUGAUCUUUUGUACCAAGAAAGUUGUAAAAGACUUGGUAAUUAGGCGUAAAAUUGGAGAAGAUGGGAGUGCACUUCAUAGAUCCAGAAGGUUUCAAAAUAUAUAAUACUUAUUAUAAAUUCAUGUUAUUUUUUAUAAAUCAUAUGAUCGAACAGUUAGUAAAUACAGGUGAAAAAAAUUA